GAUGAACGCUAGCGGCAGGCCUAACACAUGCAAGUCGAGGGGUAGAACACUUCGGUGUUUGAGACCGGCGCACGGGUGCGUAACGCGUAUGCAAUCUACCUUGUACAGGGGAAUAGCCCAGAGAAAUUUGGAUUAAUGCCCCAUAGUAUAUAACCUUCGCAUGUUGGUUAUAUUAAAGUUCCAACGGUACAAGAUGAGCAUGCGUCCCAUAAGUUAGUUGGUAAGGUAACGGCUUACCAAGACGAUGAUGGGUAGGGGUCCUGAGAGGGGGAUCCCCCACACGGGUACUGAGACACGGACCAGACUCCGACGGGAGGCAGCAGUGAGGAAAAUUGGUCAAUGGUCGCAAGACUGAACCAGCCAUGCCGCGUGCAGGAAGACGGUCCUAUGGAUUGUAAACUGCUUUUAUACAGGAAGAAACCCUCCCACGUGUGGGAGCUUGACGGUACUGUAGGAAUAAGGAUCGGCUAACUCCGUGCCAGCCGCCGCGGUAAGAC
rnacentral:rRNA from 1 species